AACUACUCAAAUGCUAAUUUAUUUGCUUAUCAAAACAUUAAAAAGUGAUACUUAUCGACUAACCGAAGACAUUCUUCAUUAUAGAGGCAAAGCAACACACAAACGAGUUAACUAAAAAGCAAUAAAAACAACAAUGAACUGAAAGCAGAAAAAACAACACGAAAAAACUACGCCAACAAAAUUAACAAAAUAUUGAAUUUCAUAGUAAAUAAAUUUUACUAAAAAUUUGUAACGAACACGAAGCAGCAGAACACGAAGAACACGAAGAGCAGAGAAAAUUUCACAAGAAAUCAUAAAAAUUUUGAUUGCUUACAUUAAAAAGGGCCGCAACAAGCCACGAGAUUUGGCUGCCUUUGAGAAAGAGUACACUGAAGACACCACGUAAAAACACGAUAUGAAAAAGACGUCGAAAAAGCAACAAAAAAGAAUAUAUAAACAAAUAAUAAAAUACUGUACGCCGAUGUUGAAUAAAAGUAAUGAAUUAAGAAGCAUCAUUGGUGAUGGGAACACAGCAUGAAAGCCAAUCAACACCAACAACCAACUGACGGCUUCGUAAGAAUUACUGUAUUUGGGCGAUAACUCAUCUGCUAACGAUAAUGGAGCGAGUGAAAUUGGCGCGCCAGUAGACAUCGUGAGUAUGAGCGUCGUUCGCUGUGUAUGUGUGCGUGUGAGCGGCGCUUACGGAAGCACCUUGUACGAACACUCAACUGACCGCCUGAACACUGGCGCACGGGAACCCUUGGAUGCUGGAAGUCAGCAAUAAUGUUCGGCACUCGAGAAAUUAUGCGUGCCUCACUGGCUGAGCGACCGGCACGCUGGAUGCAAGACCCGGCUGGCAACCACAAAAUGUCUUCGCUACCCGCACUCAACGCACCACAACUUGAGGGCGUAAGCUUCGCGCCCAUUUAUGCGAUGAUCCAGUAAGGCGUUCUGCUGUCAACACGGAAGCAUGUUUUUUCCGAGGCUUUGCCGAAAAUGACGUCGUCAUGACCG